UCAGUCCCUAUAAGGGCGCGACGUGCACACCACAGUAGAAACUCCCGACCCGCCCCCAACCUAACCCCGCCUCCUACCGCCUGAGGCAGCCGUCGCGGGCGAGCGAGCGACGGCGGCAGCCGGAGCGAGGGAGCCCGCGCCGCCGUGACGGGUCGCUCCUCUGACCCACGCGCUGCCGUCGGCCGGCCGUCCGCCCGCUCCCCGCCUCCAACCUUCGGCGCCGCGCUGCACCCCUCGCCUUCCACAUCUGACGACCCACCGUGCCCCCGCCCGACUCCCUCCCCAGUGACGCACCGCCGCCCGGCUCCCUCCCCAGCGACGCGCCCCCAGACUCCUUUCCCCGCUAAUGUACGCUGCGUGACCCGGGCGCCCGACUGCCGCAUACAAGGUUGCGCGCCGCUGCCGGCCCAACCGUCCCAGUUAGGAUCCCCCGCCUCCCACUGUGGCUCCUCGCCGCCACCAUGGGAUCCCAGCCGGCAGGCUCCGCCGAGCGCCCCGUGCCCGGCCACCUCACUUCCAUCACCGGUCGUCGCCCCUCCACCAUGCCUCCUCCCACAAACCCAAUCCAGAUCCAGCGACCUCCACCAGGAUGCACGUCGGCCUCGUCGUGGUCACAUCGGCAGUUCAACUGGUCGCUCCAUGGCCGGUCGCUCAAAGUGCUACGUAUAAGGUCACCCCGUGCUCUACCCCUGGGCCUGGCUCAGCUUUCUCCCUCCCAUCCUAUCUCUCAUCUACCUACUUGUCCUGGUCUGUUUCCCUCUCCUGAACUGUGGAUCAUGCAUCAACUCUCUCACUAUGUGGUGUUCUUGCUCCCUCUCUCGUAGCUACAACAUGGUCACACACUAGCUGAUGGAUCCAAAAAAUGAUUAUGGAUAAUUGUUGUUCUGAUCUCUAGUUUCUAUGAACUGAUGGGUAAGAUUCUCUCUCUCUCAUGCUCUCUCUCUCUCCUCAUCCUUUGUAGUUUGUGUGACUGAUAGUUUAGACUCGAGGAAAUCCGUUGUUUGUAGUUUGUGUGUACUGAUAGUUGAGACUAUGAAUUCCAUGCUUUGUAGUUUGUAUGAACUGAUAGUUAAGACUCGAUGAACUCCAUGCUUUGUAGUUUGUGUGAACUGAUAGUUGAGACCUUGAAGAGUUGUCCAUCUCGACUCGGUGAACUCAUAGCUGAUAGUUUUGUGAAGUGAAAAUUCUUUUUCAAGUUCUUGUGGUAUUUGAUACUUUGUGAGCUGAUAGCUGAUACUUUGAGAUGGAUGUAUUAUCAGGCGUGAAAAUGAUGUCAAAUAUGUGCAGUUUAGUGGAUGAGCGUUAUCUAGAUCCUUUUAAUCUGAAGGUAGUUGUACCACUAAGGAAAGUAAAAAACCAGUAUUUUCUAUAGACAAGAAAUGGGCAUUUGGCUCAGUAAUCGUCCAUUACUAGAGGUAUUUGUCACUUGACCAUUUUCCAUAACUAGUUUCAAUUCGUGAACUACCGGCACUUGCAAAAUCAAAGAGGCUGACCAUAUCAAAGUGCCCAAAGUUGAAGCAAAGGAGUUGAGAUGCUAUAGAAAAGGUACACAUGCCAACAGUAGUUUUACCUUCCAGCCUUUACUCCGCUCUUGUCUGAAGUUUCUAAAAGCAAAUCAUUAACUUGAAACUCCCCACCUCUUCAACGGGUCUAGCCUUAGCUGCAGGCAGCAGAUGAUAAAAAAUGCAUGGAUUAAUUGGAACAAAUCACACAUAGGCGAUGGGCUACGGAUCACACACACAUAUUAGCAAAAAUGAGCUAUAGAUUAGAUUGAUUGAUACCUCCUAGUGUGGUAUUUCUGUAACUAUAUUUGGUCUGCACUUAUAGGAUUUAGGGAAGUACUGCAAAAAUGUCUUGCAUUUAGUUACAGAGGUAGUAUCUGAUAAACAACAUCAGUUCUCAUGUAAAAAAAAGGUGUCUUAAGUCCACCUUGCAAAACAACAUUAGUUCUGUACAAAACAACAAUCUCUCACACACAAUACAACUUGUUACUUCUAUGGAGCCAUGGUGCUCACUUUAUUCUCUCAACCUUGAUUGUCUUGCAGUGCUUAUAGGCUUAAUUGUGAAUAGAACACUUUAUUUCUUUUUUUUAUACUCAGAAGAAACCUUGUGAACGUUCAGAUCAGGGAAACAUGAGGGCUCACCAACAAAAGCCACUAAAAAGUAUAUAAAUUUAUAGGGGUGGGUGAAGUACAAGAAUACAGAAAGUUAAGAGUUGAGAAAGCAAAAAAGUUCAGAGGCCUCUUCCAUUCACAAACGCAUGCCUCUGGCUACUUGAGAUGCGUCGGCGUCAUCGCCCAUCCAAAAACGCAGUGCCUAUUAAGCUGCUUUGUCAGAAGCUUGCAUCGAUAGUUAACCCGGUACUAUUACUGUUACCUACUAUUUAUGCUAAUGUUGUACUAUUGCUCUUGCUUAUUAAGGCCUGCAUUGAUAGUUAAUCUUGAAUUGGAUGCGUUAUUCUAUGUUAGGUGAAUGAAGCCUCGGGGCCAGGGGUCACCUGCACUACAGAAUACAAGUGUUUGCAGUUUGCUCACUAGAAUGUUGAAUGAGACUACAUCAUUAUUACUCAAAAAAAACAUUUUUUAUUUGUUCAGAAUUGUUCUUUGUGUCCAUGGCAAAAAAUAUUUUUUUUGGUUAAUGCAAUCCUCCCGUGGAAGCACUAAAACACCUGCAUGUUUUAGUGUACAUGUUAAAACUGCACUAAUUUUGGUGUGCAUGUGUUUUAAAAAAACACCUAUUACACAUUUCUUGUUGAAAGUCGGUGUCUUUGCCUGAUUGUUUUUGCUUACGGAAAUGAAAAUUAUUGGUUACAGGUUUCCUUUUUCACGCGUCCCUCUAAUUGUUUUGGAAAACAGAGAUGGGAGCAACCUGCAAUUUGUGCUGCAUGUUCACUGAAAAAGUUUGGAUCCUGACCAGAUUAUUCUCAAGAAAAUUCUUUUGACGUGUAAUUUACUAGGCAGGAAUAUAUGCAACUUGUACAUUUCUUGACUGCCAAUAAUUACUUAGGUCCACAUAGUUUCACAACCGAAUGUCAGAAAAAUGAUGCCUUUUCAGUUACUGUACAUUACUUGGCAUUUGAGCCCUCACUAUUGUCAGAAUGUCAAAGCUAGUGUAAUCCCCGUUGAGAUGCUGCUCUUCUGAAUUUUGGUUCCCACACCCAAGUCUGGUGGCUUAGAUAUUUAUUUUCAACAAGUACUGAUAAUAAAAACUAAAAGGUCACCCACCAGAAAAGUUCACAUAGCAUUAUACUUGUUCGCGUAGUAUUGUCUAGCAAGUAUAGAAGUCAUGCUCGUCUAGUAAGUACAGAAGUCAUGCUCUUAUUCCACAUCAUGCAAGUUCAACUAUAUAUUCCCCAAGGAUGUCGCCCUCAGUCCGACUAUUGCUGCUGCUUCAAAACACCGAAAUUUGAUUCGACCGGUAAGUUAUUAGCUGACUUCAUUUUUAUAGUUAAUGGGCUCAUUAACAACCUCAUUUGUUGAACUGAUUAAUAGUUGUUACUAAAUGCUAGAUUAUUUGGACUGAUUGAUAGUACACAAAAUGGUUAGCAAAAACUUAUUUUUGAUUAUUUAAUUACUGCUAGUCAAUCAAGGCAUGGACGAGAUUCUCUUUUGAACUGAAACCUGUAUUGUAUUUUUGAACUGAUGCAGGAUAGAGAAAAAGAAAAUGAAGAGAAUGAUUACCGUCUCAUUUGCCUCGAUUUACUAUAAAGAACACGUGUGACAGUAAGUCCAGGAUGCAAAAAAUAAAAUAAAAGGCAGCAGCUCAAAAAGAUGAAUAUUGGAAGUCCAUUGCUAUCUUGAGGUGUGUUACCCUUCAUCUUAGACAUAUAUGCUCAGUUAUUGUUGUGUACACAUAGAGCUACCGUGUACGUUCAUGCUCCUUCACUUGUGUAUAUUCAGUUCAACAUUUGGUGAUUCUUCAGGUCCCCUUAGCCGGCAUUUUCAGUUCAGCUUGCAGGUGACGACGCUCCCCUUCAGUUCAUCUUGCAGGUGUUUUGGCAGUACAAAAUACAUCACCAUAAUUAGUACAUCAAGGAUGGCUUGGUAGUCGCUGGGAUUCCCUGUAGUGGCCAAAUCCCAGUGCCGCUUGUGAUCUCCGCCUCCAUCAGCUCCACCUCGCCGUAGCAAUCAGUCCAGAGGAGGAGUUGUAGCUGGUCCACCCGGUCCACCUGGUUUUUCUUUCAACAUUUUCUUUGUGAUGCAUGCUCACUGAUGGAUCAGCAACUAUUUAUUGAUAUGGAGAUGUGCCCCUGCUUUUUUCUGGAGAAA